rnacentral:tRNA from 1 species
UAGUUUAAGUGGUAGAGUGCAUGCCUAGCAUGCAUGAGUUCCUGGGUUCAAUUCCCAG